UGGAAUAUAAAUUCCGUGCAAAAUGAACAACUCAUUUAAAACCCUGCUCUUGGUGUUACUUCUUGUGUGCUUGUCUUUGGCACAAGAAUAUAUUUCCGAGUUUGAAUCCUACGUGAAUGAUGAUGGCGAUGUUGUAAGUAGCGGCAUUAUGGAGGUGGAAGAAGGGGGCGAAAAGUACGUUUAUAAAUUUGAAUCAGGAAGCACAUAACAUGUAAAAAUUAAUAAACAGAAUUUCGCAUUUGACUAAA